rnacentral:tRNA from 1 species
UUUUGAGUGGCUGAGUUUAUAGCGUUAGGCUUUUGAUCUAGUUACGGUAGGUUUACCCUCGACGC